AUUGAACGCUAGCGGGAUGCCUUACACAUGCAAGUCGAACGAGUGGCGGACGUGUGAGUAAUAUAUCGGACUGUGCGCAGUAGCGGGGGAUCACUAACGGACAGUGUGGCUAAUACCGCAUACUAUUGGCGCGGCCGAUAUCGGUAUAGCUAGUUGGUGGGGUAAAGGAUCACCAAGGCCACGAUCCGUAGCUGGUUUGAGAGGAGGACCAGCCACACUGGAACUGAGACACGGCCCAGACUCCUACGGGAGGCAGCAGUGGGGAAUUUUGGACAAUGGGGGAAAGCCUGAUACAGCCAUCCCGCGUGUAUGAGAAGGCCUUCGGGUUGUAAAGUACUUUUGGCAGAGAAGCGGUAUCUGCAGAAUAAGCACCGGCUAACUACGUGCCAGCAGCCGCGGUAAUUC
rnacentral:rRNA from 1 species